rnacentral:rRNA from 1 species
UACGUAGGGGGCGAGCGUUAUCCGGAAUUACUGGGCGUAAAGCGCACGCAGGCGGUUCGCCAAGUUUGGAGUGACAGUUGUCGGCUCAACCGACAAAGGACUUCAAAAACUGGUGAACUUGAGGACGAGAGAGGAACGUGGAACUCCAGGUGUAGUAGUGAAAUGCGUAGAUAUCUGGAAGAACACCAAUGGCGAAGGCAAUGUUCUGGCUCGUUUCUGACGCUCAGGUGCGAAAGCCAGGGGAGCGAACGGG